AAACGACUCUCGACAACGGAUAUCUCGGCUCUCGCAUCGAUGAAGAACGUAGCGAAAUGCGAUACUUGGUGUGAAUUGCAGAAUCCCGUGAACCAUCGAGUCUUUGAACGCAAGUUGCGCCCGAAGCCAUUAGGCUGAGGGCACGUCUGCCUGGGUGUCACGC
rnacentral:rRNA from 7 species